UUGAAGUUCUUCUGCAGCUCACCAGUAGAGGGCAGAAGAGGGACUCAUAUGUGAGUCUGGAUAUAAGUGGGCAUUUCAGCGUGUGUCCCUACUCAGUAAAGCCACUUACAUCAGUUGAAUUCUACCCAUUUUGUUUGGUUUAAGUGACUCAAUUCCUUCUAACUUCACUGAGCUACACAUGUAUCUCAGGGAUCUGCAGGAGUUCAAUGAACAAGACGAUGCUUCAUGUGUCCUGGGGUCAUCUGAUAGGAAGGAGGCUCUUCCGCCUGCACCUGAUGUCUGAGGACGAAAACAAGUUAAGACAAAGACCGGACGAAGGAAGAACGAGGAAGAAUAGCGGGCGAUUGUUGUCCAAACGGGGUGAGUCAAAAAAACAGAGGAAUUCCUGGCUGUGCUGUAGAAACAACGCAGGCACCGCUUUGCCUCAUUGAUUACUUGAGGGAAAAGUGUGAAGGAAGCAAAGGAUCAUUCUGAGAAAACAUCUCUGCUCGGCCUUUCCUUUGCAUCUGGAGUUCAGUCUUGCAGAAUGAUGGAUGAGGAACUUGCACUGUGGCCUCCAAUGUCCUCUCCUCUUCCUCUCUCCUUAUCCUCCACCUCUUGCUUCUCCAAACACACACACAUACACACACACACUCAGACACAGUGUUAGCAAGUGAUGGAUGGGGAGCUGGCAGUGUGGCAGUAAGAGCAGACAUCCAGAACUACACUGCCACUUAUUCAUUUGUCGUCGUAUUCACAUCUUUAUUUAUACAUCUUCCUCCAUAAAAACAUCUAAAUAUAGAUGUUUCUGCCUUUUCACACACAUUAUGAAAGUAUAGAAAAG